CAAGUAAAUGUUCUGCAGACACAACAAAUGAGUUCGUCUGUUAAUGUAAACAAGCGGUUAAUUGUAAGGAUAAAUAGAGUUCGCGGGUUGACCCCGUGUUGUAAUUAUUAAAAUACUUUCUGUAGUUAUGUGGAGGACUAAUAAUAACCGCUCCACCUCUCUCCAUUAAUCAAAAGGCUACCAGCUCGAUAUACAAAUGUCAUAUUGUUCUAAAUAUUUAUGUUUAUUGAUGCAGAAUAAUUAUGUAAUGUUAUAUGGAGAAGGAGAGUGAAAAUAAUCGUAUUGAAGAUAUAGAAGUUAAAAUGUAUUGUGCACAGAAAUUACUGUGAAAUGAAAACUGUACCACCAGUUUGCAAAGCAGUUCCCACUAGUGAAGAACGGUAGUUACACUGGCUACAAGUCCAUCAAACCGGAACGCAACAGUGACUACACAAUACUGCGGCAGAAAUACAUUGCGGUGGUACUUACCCAGGCGGACUGUCACAUAUGAGACCUACCACCAUAACAGAGAGUCAGUUUGGGAUUGUCCAUUAAAAAGGCUGGUGUAUAUGUACAGACUCCCUUACCACUUGGGCUGCUGCGUCCUGUAGAGGCAGCUGUCGGGGCUGAUGUGUAGUGCGGCGCCGCGGAUGCUCCUGUAGGUGGCGUCGGUGCUGAGACUCGCCGCCUGCGGGAUGUGGCCCGACAAUACACACUUCAUUAUGCGUGUGCAUUUUGCUGCAACAAAAAAAUAAAAUAAGGUCAAUAUUA